AGCGAACGCUGGCGGCAGGCCUAACACAUGCAAGUCGAACGGACCCUUCGGGGUUAGUGGCGGACGGGUGAGUAACACGUGGGAACGUGCCUUUAGGUUCGGAAUAGCUCCUGGAAACGGGUGGUAAUGCCGAAUGUGCCCUUCGGGGGAAAGAUUUAUCGCCUUUAGAGCGGCCCGCGUCUGAUUAGCUAGUUGGUGAGGUAACGGCUCACCAAGGCGACGAUCAGUAGCUGGUCUGAGAGGAUGACCAGCCACACUGGGACUGAGACACGGCCCAGACUACUACGGGAGGCAGCAGUGGGGAAUCUUGCGCAAUGGGCGAAAGCCUGACGCAGCCAUGCCGCGUGAAUGAUGAAGGUCUUAGGAUUGUAAAAUUCUUUCACCGGGGACGAUAAUGACGGUACCCGGAGAAGAAGCCCCGGCUAACUUCGUG
rnacentral:rRNA from 1 species